UUAUUAUUGACCCUUCGUUGUUCCAUAUGUGAUGCAUGCGCCACAAUCCUCAUGUUUUCAAGCAAUAGUUUAGUUUACUUCCUGCGUAAUCCACCCACCAAUGAUGUUCUCAAUAUUACCCAGAGGAACAAGAGGAGUGCAGGGUAUAUGUAAACAUAAUUAAGAACAGCAGAAUAACUUUACAAGAGUAUCACUGAACAGGUACAAAUUUGCCACUUCCCACCGUACAAGAAGACUGUUAGAUUUGCAUUAUUAUUACAUUUUUUUGCUU